CCGUAAACUCCGUUUCAACUACUG
rnacentral:miRNA from 1 species